rnacentral:rRNA from 1 species
UGGGGAAUCUUGCGCAAUGGACGAAAGUCUGACGCAGCGACGCCGCGUGGGCGACGAAGGCCUUCGGGUUGUAAAGCCCUGUGGGGAGAGACGAACACGCUUCAUUCAAAUAGGGUGGAGCGCUGACGGUAUCUCCUUAGCAAGCACCGGCUAACUCUGUGCCAGCAGCCGCGGUAAGACAGAGGGUGCAAACGUUGCUCGGAAUUACUGGGCGUAAAGCGCGUGUAGGCGGGCCUGCCAGUCAGGUGUGAAAGCCCGGGGCUCAACCCCGGAAGUGCACUUGAUACUACAGGUCUAGAGUACUGACGAGGAGAGCGGAAUUCCCGGUGUAGAGGUGAAAUUCGUAGAUAUCGGGAGGAACACCAGUGGCGAAGGCGGCUCUCUGGGCAGAUACUGACGCUGAGACGCGAAAGCAUGGGGAGCAAACAGGAUUAGAUACCCCCGUAGUCC